rnacentral:rRNA from 1 species
CUCGUAGGCGGCUUGUCGCGUCGGCUGUGAAAACCCUGGGGCUCAACCCCGGGCCUGCAGCCGAUACGGGCAAGCUAGAAUUCGGUAGGGGAGACUGGAAUUCCUGGUGUAGCGGUGAAAUGCGCAGAUAUCAGGAGGAACACCGGUGGCGAAGGCGGGUCUCUGGGCCGAAAUUGACGCUGAGGAGCGAAAGCGUGGGGAAGCAAACAG